rnacentral:rRNA from 1 species
AUUGAACGCUGGCGGCAGGCCUAACACAUGCAAGUCGAACGAGUGGCGGACGGGUGAGUAAUGUCUGGGAAACUGCCUGAUGGAGGGGGAUAACUACUGGAAACGGUAGCUAAUACCGCAUACAAUCAGAUGUGCCCAGAGGGGAUUGGCUUGUUGGUGGGGUAACGGCUCACCAAGGCGACGCUCCCUAGCUGGUCUGAGAGGAUGACCAGCCACAUGUGAACGGCGACACUGUCCAGACUCCUACGGGAGGCAGCAGGGGGUAAUAUUGCACAAUGGGCGCAAGCCUUAUGCAGCCAUUCCGCGUGUAUGAAGAAGGCCUUCGGGUUGUAAAGUACUUUCAGCGGGGAGGCGUUACCCGCAGAAGAAGCACCGGCUAACUCCGUGCCAGCAGCCGCGGUAAUAC